rnacentral:rRNA from 1 species
GUGCUAAGGUAGCAUAAUCAUUUGUCUUUUAAUUGAGGGCUUGUAUGAAAGGUUGGAUGAAGCAAUCACUUUCUUUAAUUUAAUUUAUGAAUUUAAUUUUUUAGUCAAAAAGCUAAAAUAUUUUUAUUGGACGAGAAGACCCUAUAGAUCUUUACAGGCUAUUAAAUUUGAUAAUUUAGGGAAUUACUUAUUUUUAUUUAAAAUCUUGUUUGAUUGGGGUGAUUGUAGAAUUUUAUAAACUUCUAUUGUUUGAUUUUCAAAAAUUAUUGUUUAAUUGAUCCAUAAUAUGAUGAUUAGAAGAUUAAG